rnacentral:pre_miRNA from 1 species
CGAAUACGUGAAUAAAGAGAGCUGUCCGUCGACAGUCCAGAUACCUAUAACACUGUCAUGGAAUUGCUCUCUUUGUAUAAUAUUCG